AGAGAUGCCACUGUUUCCAAAAUUCAACUCCUUUCUGACCAGGAUGAGCAAGAAGUCUCCUGCAUGCUAGUAUCCUGCCAAGGCUGUGACUCCCCCAUGGUUCUUGCAGGAAAGAUCAGGAAGCACACAGCUCACAAGAACUAUGGACUUUGAUUGUUAAGUUACCAGAGGAAUGUGCUGAAAUCCUGCCCACUGCCUGCAGCAGCAGCUGAGAGAUGAAAGCAGCUGGAAGCAAAGAGUUGAUCAGGAACACAGCUGGCCAAUCUAGGAGUCUUGGCAUCAGCGGAAUAUCAGCACUGUGAUAGACAUCCUCACUCUGCAGCACAACUAGCUAAUUGCGCAAGAGUCUGGCACGCUGCAACUCAGGAGGGUCAGAGUGAACUAGAGGGAUGAUACCAACUGACAUCAACCUCACUCCUUGAAGGAGAGGAAACUGUAUGCCACGGUCUUUAGGUGCAAUACUACAGGCAAGUCUACAGACCUGCAGCAGCAGAAUGGAAAUAUCACCAGCACCUCCUUUGUGCAUGCUUCUGGAGUUAAAAGGAGGCUUAAAAAAAUCAGAGUAUCCCCAUUAAAAAACUCUGACUAAACAGUUCUUUCACACUCAUGACUCCCUUUGAAUAGUCAGAGCAGAGGAAAUACCCCCA